rfam:Gossypium arboreum cultivar AKA8401 contig_5753_1, whole genome shotgun sequence.
UAUUAAAAAUUGUAUCCAUUUGUAUGGCUAAAAACUUGCAUGGUUGAUGGAAUAACUGACCAGUAACAUGCACAUCAUGUUAAUAUACAAGGACCAAUUUUUAACAAAAGAAAUUGAUAGAAUUUUUAAGA